rnacentral:rRNA from 1 species
CUACGGGUGGCAGCAGUAAGGAAUAUUGCGCAAUGGAGGCAACUCUGACGCAGCCAUGCCGCGUGCAGGAAGAAGGCCUUAUGGGUCGUAAACUGCUUUUAUUUAGGAAUAAACCCCCGAACGUGUUCGGGGCUGAAGGUACUAAACGAAUAAGCACCGGCUAACUCCGUGCCAGCAGCCGCGGUAAUACGGAGGGUGCAAGCGUUAGCCGGAUUUAUUGGGUUUAAAGGGUGCGCAGGCGGGCUAUUAAGUCAGUGGUGAAAUCCCGGGGCUCAACUCCGGAACUGCCAUUGAUACUGAUAGUCUUGGGUUUGGUUGAAGUGGGCGGAAUGUAGCAUGUAGCGGUGAAAUGCAUAGAUAUGCUACAGAACACCAAUCGCGAAGGCAGCUCACUAAGCCAAAACUGACGCUCAUGCACGAAAGCGUGGGGAUCAAACAGGAUUAGAUACCCCUGUAGUC